UGUGAGCAGUCCCAAGUGUGGUGUGACCUUUACCAACCACAGGCAAUGCCAGCUCCUGGCUGUCCUUCCCCCUGCCCAGGCUGGCUGUGCCCCUGCUCACUGGGACACUGCUGAAGGAGCCUGCAGCUGACUGGGCAGGUGGCCGCAUCCAUGCUGGGCUCGGGAGGAAGAGGAGGAGGAGGAGGAGGCUGCCUGCAGCCCCUGCCUGCGGGACCGGCAGGGAGCCCCACCACUCUUCUUCUACAUGAAACCAGAGCGAAACAGCAACACCUGCUUCCCACGCUGUAGUUAUCUGCACACUCGGGAGGGACCAGCCGAGACACCCCCGGACGUGCUGGUAAGCUCCCGGCUCGCCAGGCACCCCAUCUCCAUGAGCUCCUUCAGCAGAGCCACCCCCAGAGCCUGCUCCCCCUGCCCUGCGCUCCCCGGCACUCCAGCCCGGCACGGCAGCACCAGCCCGCCCCGGCACACGCGGCCCUUCGUUCCGCGUCGCAACUGAAACUAUGACUAAUAACCGAGUUAUCAGAUCCUCAGGAAGGCUGAGCUCCGCGGCUCGGGGCGGGGGCUCCGGACGCAGGGUCUGCCGCAGGCACGCAGCCACACACAACCUUGACGUUAACCCCAUCCUUCGGACCCCAACACCCGACUUACGUGCUCCGGCGGGCAGGGAGCACACCUGGAGUGUGCAGCGGUGGGCUGGGAAGGACACGGCUGUCAGGGCACUUCUUCAAAGCCCCCCCGGGCACGGCAGCCCGCGGCAAAGCGCUGCGAGUGCUCCGCUCACACCCUCCCCACGCAUUUCGCUUUCGCUCCCUCGCAGCAGCCGGAGACAGAGAAGAAAGCAAAGCCGGUUCCUUAAAUCCUGGGGGCGAGAGGAUUUCAGAGCCAUGGGCGGCCGGGAGCGGCGAGCGAACGGGCACCGAGGCUGGAAACCAGGUCACAGGCGGCAGACUCCUGACCCCGAUGGCAGAAGUUGGUGGGAACACAUGCUCCGGCCCCAGCGCUCUUCCCUUUGGAGCGAACAGCGUUCUCCGCUCUCCUCCCGCUCGCUCGCCGGAGCGUUCCAGCCGGCUGCAGCCGCGGUUGUUAAGGUGGAUGGAAGCGCCGCCAGUAUUUUCUCCCCUACCUCAUCUCCUUGCUCAGCAGCUCGGGGCUAUGGGGAGACUGUGCAGUUUCAGGAGAUGCCCGACGUUGCCAAGAAAUAAUAAUAAUUAAAAAAAAAAAAGAAAAAAAAAAAAGGCAGGAGAAAAGCGAAGGGGCGGGAGCGCGGCAGCUCCGCUCCUGCCAGCCCGGGGACGGGGAGCCGGUGCCGUCGUCGGUAUGUGGCGGAGCAGCGAGCAAGCUCUAAUCUGUUCCUCUGGCUGACCCGGGGCUCGUUGCAUCUGAAUGUGACCUCUAGACAGAGCAUUAAUAACGAACGUGGCGCUGACCCAAGCUGACAAGGGGUGCGGCGCUUGGCACCCGCUCCCGCCCUCCCUCGCUCACUUUCUGUCUCCCUCGCUCUCGGCUGAAUGUCAGCGGCAGGGGGAGGGAUCCAGGAAAACAAAGCUUGGCUAAUAGUUUUCUCCGCUCUCAAGUGAAUCAAAGGCGCUUUUCUUUGGGGACGUGCGCGCCGGCGAGCCCAGAGCCGCACCGACGGGGUGCCACGGCGCCCCAGGACACCUCGGCCCUGCAGCUGCUGCCCUGGCACAGGAGGGAUGGGGAGAGGUUUGGCACCGGUGUCGCCAAGGGCGGACCGGGGCCUCUGCUCCCGUACAGCAAGUGGAGGCUGGAAGGAAGAGGAGCUCGGAGAGCGGGGUACUGUGCUCAGCAUCUCGGGGAACAGAGAAGAAACCCGGAGGGGCAGCGCGGCGGGCGAGGGCUGGCAGCUCGCACCCCCCUCGGCUCGCUGCAGCUGGGGGUUUUCACGAGAGACAUUCCAAGGCUCUCUGGCACGGCUGCCCAGCUCCACCCUGGGCUUGGUGAGGGCGGAGAGAGCCCGUAAAAGGGUCCCUUAAUGGGAGCUCGUGUGGAUUAACAGACCAAGGUUAUAGGGGAAAAACUAAGUGGUAUCAUUCCCUACGCCCGACGGUACCCGGUAUGAUCCUUCAGUACCUCUUGCACCCACGCACCCCCUUGGGAGUGAGCAUGGAGGCAGUUCUGGCUACGGCACAGCCAAAAUGUGCCGCAAUCCUAUUCUGGAGAAAGACCAGCCCUAUGGAGUCAGCGACAGCACCCAAAGCAUCCCGAAAGUGUGGUCUGCAUCGCUUUCCUGCACUAACCUCGGGGUGGUUUGCAGAGGCUCAGAGAAGCUGAUGCUGGCACCAGCCUGCCGUGCUCCCAGUGGACCUCUCUUUUGGUGACUGGACACAAGCAUGCCUCUGACACAUCCCAUGGCUACAAAGGAGCUUGCAGCUGAACUCCCCAGCACCUUUCACACCCAUCAUGCCACUUCUCUGCAGGGAGGCAGUGUCACCAAACAAGGUGUGGGUACCUGACCAGCAAGGAGUUGGGAGCCCCAACCAGCUCAGCUCUAGUGCAAUGUCCCCUCUAUGCUGGCCCUGGCUGGGGACCCUCAGCUCCCAGGUCUCCCCUUUGAAAUGGAUGGUUCCUAGAUCACUGCACCCACCUGCUGCAAACCCUUAAGCCCUGUGCCCUGAUGCAGACCUGCCUGGCUUUACUACUCCUACUACAGCAUGCCUGUCCUAUCCUUUGACACCAGGGGCAGGAAGUCCCACUCAGGAUGCCUGCUCCUGGAAAUGUGCCAUCCCUUCUGGUCCAGCAUGGCAAUGAGUACACGUGGAGCAGCCACUGCUGGCAGGCCCAGCUCUCUUCUUUCACCUGGUUCAGAUACUAUUCCCGCUCCCUUAUUGUUGAAAAAAUAAUACUCAAAAUUAAAAUGUAGGCAGCAAAUUAUAGUAAUUACCCAGCAGUUCCUCCUGACAGGCCUAUUGUAUUCCAUUCACUGACACUCACUAAGCAAAUCCUCGCAGUUUGCUCCUACACACUCGAGAAACAUUCAGCCAACGGUGGCACAAAGUGCAGCUCCAGGGGCAUGGUGGGCACCUGCACCACAGGCACAGUCCUGGGGAUAACACCUUGGCUGAAAGGCAGCCAAGCACCAGCCUGGGACGGCAGGGAAGGGGCUGCAGUCAACCACAGCCUCACUCAGAGCAAGCGUGGCUAAUUUACACCUUGGACACAGUUGUGCCCUCAUGGUACCCAGUCUGCCCCAUCCCAAUAACUUCCACCACGUCGCUUCGUACAGACUUCAUGACGAGCACCAGGCACAUACAGCACUCUGGCUGUGGACACUGGGAUGGUGAGGUUGGGCCCUCCUUGCUCUGAGCUCCCUUUGCACCCCGCCUGGAUAGACAACAUCUGAGUGGGAGACCCCAAGGCACAUCCCACCCCAAGGGCACCCAGAAGGACAACGUGCAGCGACAGAUGAGCUGCAAACCAGUUUCUCCAGCCCACUUUUACUACUAUCAGAAGGUUUUCACAGUUGUAAAUACCUCUGAUGGGAGAAGGGAAGGCUCCAACACAAGCACAGAGGAGACGAAAGGAGGAAGGUAUGGAGCUGCUGGCUCCCCAGCAUCACCCAGCCAGCUCCUGCAUUCCAAAGGUGAUGUAAGGUGGCUGACUUUUAUUUUAGUUUCGUGAACAGAAUGGGACUGGGUAAAAAAUGGUUCAGGUCAGUCCAAAACUCAGAUGAAUUGUUGUCAGCACUGAAAAUACGCAUUCGAAAGAGUGCCUUUGGUAUCCAAGGGAAUAUUUUGUAUCUACCCAGAAGGAACUAUACAGGAGUCUUCAUGGGUUAUUUAACUCUCUGUCUUCAGUAUUUUAUAUAUUUAUAUAUUUAUAUAUAUAUAUAUAUAUAUGUAUAUAUAUAUAUAUAUUAUUUAUAUUCGUGCCCAACCCUCCUCUGCCUCAUCACGCUGACUCCAUCCUGUGGCCUCUCUGUGUCCUCGGCGUGGGAAAAGGCAUAAAGAGCCCCAGGCUGGCUGUGCCCUGGGGAAAAGGAGCACAGAGCUUGGGCAAGGCACGGGAGGACCUCAGCAAGAGCCUGCCACUUCCACCCGCCUCUUUUCAAAGAACAAAACCACUUGUUAGACACCACGGGAAAACCCCGAGCUGAGCGAGAACAGAUACCAGACUUUAAAGACUAACAAAGGUCAUGUCGAAACCUCCCGGUUCAUCGAGUUCGGCUCCAGGGUUAUUGCAGCUGCCCUGAAGCACUGGCAUUAGUGGUGACACUUGGUGGAGGGGCUGGGGGGACAAUAAACCCACCCACUGCUGAGGCUGGUGCUUGCCUGCUGCUUGCAGACCCCCUUCCAGCCUACCUUCAACUCUUGCCUGCGUGGGCUCAUCCAGUAGGUCCCCCAAAGGCAGGAACUGCCUAAACGUUGCCUUUUAAGGAGCAGCCCCAUCCCGCUGCUGAAUGCCUCUGCACCCUGCUCGGCAGCAAAGCAGUGGGUGCUGCCUGCUUCCUGGCUUGGGAAGGGAAGGGGGAACUCCUCGAGUAACUCGGGUUAAAUCAAAACCUUCUGCUUCAAGGAUCACAGCCAUGGCGCAAGGAGAUAAUAUCAGAAAAACACAUCCCCCAUCGUUAUCCCAAUCUCUGCACAUUUUGACAGACUACUGAAUCGAAGUUUAUUGCAUAAUGAAAGUAUCAUUAAGCAAGAACUUUCCUCUUGCUGGGUUUUUGUUCCCCUAUUUAAGUUUAGUAACAUGGUACUCCCCUUCACUGUCUCCCCUGGCAGACACAAUCCUGCCUUCUCCUGACUGGAAACUCCCUGUGCAGCUCUGUGACUGUGGAAGAGAGCAGGCAGCUCUGGUGUCUCUCUGUCUCAGGGCUGUUUUCUCUCACCUCCCUGAACACAAAUGACAUGGAGUUUCACGCCACGCACAAGAAAUCCAGGGGUGAACAGCAAGGCCAGGUUGAUCUCCUGGUUGGCAAGUGCUCGGAGCAGAGGUCACCGACCGUCCCCUUCUGCCAAAGUACUUGGGGUGGUAGGGCUGACUUUCCCUGGGACUCACACCUUGCUGAACUCCCCAAACCAGGCUCUGACUGGUACCAGUAGGGAGGAGGGUGCCUUGGGUGGCCGAGUCCUUUUGGUGAGGAGAACGGUGCCUGUGUCUCUGAGCCCAGCCUGAACAGGCCACCACCCCCUCUGCCCCUGCCCAGCCAUGCUGGCAGCAGCUCUGCCACCGCCUCCUCCAGCCUCUGAGGUUACCUCCGGAGUUUCACAGUUGCUGUGUCUCGGAAACCCCCACCACGCAGGUCCCUGGAAAUGCCAGACACAGCCAGUUCGAAGCAUUAAAGCGGCUGCUUCCUGGCAGAGGGGAAUUUGGCUUUUCUGUAGAAGUCUGGUGUUGCAAUCUCAGUUUCCCAGGUUGUAACGAAGGGAGAAACAAUCAGCCAUUGGGCUUUACACCAGCAAAUCUCCCUGCCUCCUCCUGGCCCCUGGGCUGGAAUAGUGCUGCAUGCUCCCACGCUUCAUCCCUCCUUCACACAGGCUUUGGCAGCUGGUGUUAAGACUCCUUAAGUGCACCUCCAGCAUCCAGCAUAAAACAAGAGGCACUUUUUAACAACCAGAUGCUGAUCUCCAAAAUAAAGCAGUGCUCGGAAAAGAUCCCUCCAAUGACCCUCCCCUGCCAGCAUCUGCUCGCCCCAUUACCUGGCCCCAGGCCAGUUUGCUUGAUUAAAAUCUAUCUAUUAAGUUUUGCGACUACAGAGAGCCCCGUUCAGCAACGCACAGGAUUGGCAUAGGGUUGUAAAAGAGGGUUGGAACAGCUUAAAGGCGAGCGAGCCAAACACUUUGGGAUAUUCACAGGCAAAGUAAUCCAAGUCCACAGCUCCCAUCGGCACCUGGGCAGCCGGCGCUCCAGAACAUGUAAUCACCAUCCCAGCAGCAGGUGCAUUUUCCAAGCUGAGCCGAACCUGCUAACACGCCUAUUUGCCUUUGCCAUCCCCGAACGGCACUCAUUUCCAUUUUAAUUUCCCAUUUACAAUCCUCUCCGGGCCAGGAGAGUCGGCAGCAAUGCAAGCGGGAUGCACGGGCUGGGGAUGUGAGCUCGACAGCCCAUCAACAGGACGUGACUUUGGCAAAAAAUUAAAGCAGUGAAAGAGCUGGCGCAGGAGCGGCACAAGGAGGGGAAGUGGCAAGAAGGGCUGUGCUACACUCAGCACUUUUUAAAAACGGUCUCAGCAAAGGCUCUGAAUCAGCUCCAGGAUGUAAAGUCACCCCACGCUGCCCACAGCCCUGACUCUCGAGAGCUCCCCAACACGUGCCUGUGGAGUGCUGGGGUUCACCGUCCUCUCCCUCAAUCCCAGAGCUGCGAACACAGGCAGACACUCUCUGUGUGCCUGGAACAGAUCACGCUGAAACCAUAAAGCUGCGAAGAGUGGGGUGAAACUACAUCCCAUGGUACAGGCACCAGCAGCUCCAAAACUGCAACGGACAAAGCAUCUUCCCCAUUUCCUACAGCCAACUUCUGCCUCAUGGGACAUGCGUGGCUCCAGCCACAGCCCAGACAUCCCCGGUGCUGGCACAGCUCCUGGGGCUGGAGAAGCUGAGCAUACUCCCUGCCUUCCCCACACCCUCCCUGAGGCGCGCUGGGAACAAACCAACAGCAGGACAGGCAGGAUGCGGCCCCACAGCUCAGGACCCACCACCCUGCACCAAUGCCAGCAGUCAGAUGCUGUCCAUUCCCAACUGCUGGAUUAGCUCCAGCACAGGCAAUAAGAGAAAGAAAACGAGUGUCUCACCUUUUUUAGCUGUCUCCAUCUCCUCUUCGGUCCAGCGAGAGCUUUCAUUCAUUUCCAGGGAAGCUGGGAAGGAAGAAGGAAAGAGACCAGUCAGCUGUGAGCAGGACCCAGCAAGCACAGUGAGCUCAGGGGAGGUGUCCCAACACCCAAACCCUGUCCCCCAUGCCCUGUGCCCGGGAGGCACGACAAAACCCCGUGCAGCGCAGGAAGUGCUUCCACAAGAAAGGCUGUUGUGAGGCCUUCCCAUGCCACAGUACCCCAUGCACAACAUCCCCUCAGGAUGCACCUCAGUGAUGCAAAACCUCCAGUUUGGGCCUGGAAGUGAAGCCAAAUGGCUUGAGAGUGGCAGCAGAUUUCCUGCUGAUCUGGUGCCACGCAGCCCGGCCCAACAACAGGUAGCUAAGAUGGAGCCGGCUGUGGCUGUGUGCUUUGGAGGAGGCAGACGCAGGGUGGGACCAUCAGAGACGGAGAAACAGCGUCACCUCAGUGGUGACUUUGGCCGACUGCAUCUGUCAAGGGUGUUGGCCGUGUGUGACCGCGGGCUCCCUCUGUGCCAUCACUGGGCUCUUGGACAACACCUCUGAGCCACUUCCAGCAACAGCGGGGGCUCGUCUGGAGCAGUGCCCGUUGAAGGGGACAUGCUGCUCCAGCCAGGAGAGGCUGACAGGGGUGUCAGCGUCUGAUGCUGCCCCUCUCCCCCACUCUAAGCAGGUGCUGGGGACACCAAGGUCCUGCAUAAAGCCUUCACUAUGCACCAGUCCUGCUGGCAGCCUGGCACAGAGCAAACCCUACAAUAACAAACUGGGGUGUGAGUCAGAGACAAAAAACAACUCGGUAAGGAAACAGAUUUCCGGCUCAGGCUGCCAAGGGGUUAUUACUCUAAACAACAGGCAAAGCAUUAUUUCAACAGUGAUGAGAGAUGUUUUGACAGUGUCCUUUCAAAAUGGAAAACAGGCUGAUAGGUUCAGGAUAAAGAAUACAGGCACGGAGAGAAGGAAGGAGCUUCCAAGAAGCUCUACAAGAAGCUGAGACCCUGCGGGAGGACAGUGGGGGUUCCAAUGCCCACAGCAUUGGGCAGAGGAAUCUCCUUCAGAGCUGGCUGAGCACGAUUGCAGGUGUCACCUCCCGGAAGACAAUGCAGGUCUCUGCCUCCCCCAGAACCGUGUCCCCCCCGGGACACCAGCCAAGAGGGAGGGAAAUUGAUACCUCACCGCUUCCCCCCUGGCAGCAGGCAGAGCUGGGGCAACAACGCUCGUUUACGUAAAAGUGAGUGUCCCCAACGCUGUGCAGGCCCUUGGCUCAGCUGGUGAUGGCUGUUAUUGUAUGGUAAAGAAAUGUCACAGAAACGGCCCGUUUGGUUUGAUUAAUGGCAUCGACUGAGGUUGCGCAGUUAUGAAACAGAUGCCUACGGGGAGCUCCAGCACGCUGCAGUUAAACCACAAUACGGUUUUGUGUUGUUUUUUAAUGUUCAAUUGGUAUUUAAAAUGCAAUAACUUUCUUAGCCAACCUAAAUUAAAGCGCUAUUGGAGAGACAUAAAGUGAAA